rnacentral:rRNA from 1 species
GAUCAUGGCUCAGGAUGAACGCUAGCGACAGGCUUAACACAUGCAAGUCGAGGGGCAGCGAGGGAGUGGCAACACUUCUGUCGGCGACCGGCGCACGGGUGAGUAACGCGUAUGCAACCUGCCCUUCACAGGGGGAGUAACCGGGAGAAAUUCCGACUAAUACCGCAUACGUCCUUUGGGGGCGAUCCCCGGGGGAGUGAAAGAAUUAUCGGUGAAGGAUGGGCAUGCGUGAUAUUAGGUAGUUGGCGGGG